CCCAGAGCGUAGCGCAUAUUAAUCAGUUGACACACAAAACAAAUGAAGCUACUCAAGGUCGUCGUCUGGACUUGAUGGACAAACAAUGGAGAACUUUGGGUUGACCUCGCGACAACAGAGAGUCAGGAUUUUCCCUAAUUAAUAAAGCAACUCGAAUUUAAUGGCUACGUGUAUAUACUAAUGUAUAUAUCCUUUGACAUCUGCUAAUGAAUGUGCGUGUAACCCUUGAGCAAGGUUGUCAAGGAUACCUCAGUCUCAUGUCAAAGGAUGUGCGAAGGGAUUAUUAAUCAAUGACUAGAAUAAUCAUUUAGUUCAAAUAAAAUAUUUACAGAUGUUUAA